GCUAAUUAAAUCCAAAUAUUUUAAGUGAGCUAAAUACAGUCCUGGUUAUAACAUUAUUUCUACGAUCAUUGGUCUUCCUUGUUUUGUCUGCCGUUUUGUCUGGGAGAGGUUUCUAGGGAGCAGGCGGCUCUUAUGGGGGAUGUUCGUUCACAAGUUACAUCAUUACUUAUAUCACCAGCUAACAAGAAAUGAAAACAGAGCUUGAAUACAUUUACAGCAUAGGCCAAAUAUAUGGGUAUAAUAGGAGAUUCUUAGAAGAGAUCUAUUAUAAAGUACAACAAUCCUCCAUAAACAAAAACGAUACUGAAGAACCAAGCAACAAAGAAUAUGAACCAGUUCUGUAUGCUAUGAAGAACUACAGUGUCACUAAGAAAUUAGCUAAAAAGACUAAUAAGAGGCUAGCUUAUAAGAGACAUCCGACACUGUUCAGCCAG
rnacentral:lncRNA from 1 species